UACGGAAGGCAGCAGUGGGGAAUAUUGCACAAUGGGCGAAAGCCUGAUGCAGCUAUGCCGCGUGUAUGAAGAAGGCCUUAGGGUUGUAAAGUACUUUCAUCGGGGAGGAAAAAACAAAACUAAUAAUUUUAUUUCUUGACGUUACCCGAAAAAGAAGCACCGGCUAACUCCGUGCCAGCAGCCGCGGUAAUACGGAGGGUGCUAGCGUUAAUCAGAAUUACUGGGCGUAAAGAGCACGUAGGUGGUUUUUUAAGUCAGAUGUGAAAUCCCUGGGCUUAACCUAGGAACUGCAUUUUGAAACUGAAAUACUAGAGUAUCGUAGAGGGAGGUAGAAUUCUAGGUGUAGCGGUGAAAUGCGUAGAUAUCUGGAGGAAUACCUGUGGCGAAAGCGGCCUCCUAAACGAAUACUGACACUGAGGUGCGAAAGCUGGGGAGCAAACAGGGAUUAGGAUACC
rnacentral:rRNA from 1 species